rnacentral:lncRNA from 1 species
UAAAAUCCCAAUUUUUGCUCUAAGUUUCAACCAUAUAUAGGUGUUCUCCUUGAUGUCUUCAAUCAUUCCAGUAGGUGUUUUGUGUGCUCCCUUAAAAACCUUUUAAUUUCUGUUGAUCCAAAGCUUCUAGAAAACUAUAAAACUACCAUGAGCUCUUGAUGGAACAUACAUAAAGUGCUUAGUGCCUAAUGAAGAGAAGCCUAAAUACAUACCAAGAAAGGGAAAGAUUGCUACAAACGUAACUAGAAGUGGAUGUGCGCGCGGCCUUACUCAUGCUUGUGGAUUUCGUCUAUGUUUAUGUUUAAAUAAAGUUGUAAACUUUUAAGACAAUGUUUCUUCCUAUCUCGCGAUGUAAACGCUAAACUUAUGUUUUCAAAUUAUGAAAUGUUUGGUAUUUGAAGUUAUUUUAUGAGCAUGUAGUAUGUUUACCUUCCGUGUGCAAUGAGAACCUUUCAUGAUCACACCUCGUGCUUCCGUCGCAAAAAGGGUGUGAC